rnacentral:rRNA from 1 species
AUUGAACGCUGGCGGCAGGCCUAACACAUGCAAGUCGAGCGGCAGCGGGAAAGUAGCUUGCUACUUUUGCCGGCGAGCGGCGGACGGGUGAGUAAUGCCUGGGAAAUUGCCCAGUCGAGGGGGAUAACAGUUGGAAACGACUGCUAAUACCGCAUACGCCCUACGGGGGAAAGCAGGGGACCUUCGGGCCUUGCGCGAUUGGAUAUGCCCAGGUGGGAUUAGCUAGUUGGUGAGGUAAUGGCUCACCAAGGCGACGAUCCCUAGCUGGUCUGAGGAGAUGAUCAGCCACACUGGAGCUGAGAGACGGUCCAGACACCUACGGGGGGCAGAAGUGGGGAAUAUUGCACGAGGGGGGAAACCCUGAUGCAGCCAUGCCGCGUGUGUGAAGAAGGGCUUCGGGUUGUAAAGCACUUUCAGCGAGGAGGAAAGGUUGAUGCCUAAUACGUAUCAACUGUGACGUUACUCGCAGAAGAAGCACCGGCUAACUCCGUGCCAGCAGCCGCAGUAA